AACAAAUUGAAAACUUGGGCGGCUCCUAAAAAUUUGGUAGCGGCAGAUUUCCCCCCUUUUCUCUUUUCAGUAGACACGCAUACACAAACUCAUCUCACUGCAGACACUCACCUCAUUCUCUCCGCUGCCUUGAAUUGAAUUGGGAUUUCACCGGAAUUAGGGCUUAAACAGCUUUUUACUUUAAUUGGGGCUUCGAUUUGCUUGGAUUUAAGUUCUUUCUCUAGUGUAGUUGUUGAGGCACUUGGGUAGUUCAACCUCACAACUUCAUUUUUUAAAUUGAGGGGAUUCUUGUUUUCUUGAAUUUUACAGAAAAGAGAAGAAGAUAUAAAAUAAAUGUUGUGUAUGCUUCUUUGUUUUGAAUUGGAGCUCCUGAAGCUCUGGUUAUCGGAGUUGUGGCUUUGUUGUUUUUUGGUCGGAAAGGUCUUGCUGAGCAUCUAUGGGUAAUGAUUGUCUCAAGGUCAACAUGUAUUCUGUGGGAGUCUACAGGUAUUCAAAGAUGGCUACUGAUAAAUAAAUUCCUGAGGUAUAUAUGUUUUACAAUUUUUGUUUCAUUCAUUGUUUGCUUUAGUUGUUUUCCAGCAUGUUUUUUACCAUUUGUUCAUUUUAUCUAAAAAAAAUUAAUAUCUGAUCAAGUUGCCUACUUGGCCAUUGUAUUAUCUCAAGCAAACAUUAGUCUUGGCUGCUUUGUAUGUUCUAAAGCUCUCAGGUUCCUCCGACGAGAAGAUCUUGUACAUCUUGCUUAUGGAUUGUAAGUUUCAGAUUCUGAAGGUGUCUUUAUGCUAAUAAUCCAACCAGGAGGAUCAACAACUCUGGAUAAUCCCACAACUCCAUCAGUGUGACCAAUUAGAAGUGUGUACUUGAGAUCAAGAUGAGCACCGAGGUUCAGCAGGCUUCUAGAGUUGAUCAUGGAAUUCAGACCAAUAUGACGUUCACCUCCUCUACAGCCCCAACAGUUAGUCCAAAAAUUUCAAGGUUUGCAGCAAAGUCUGGAUUUGUGAUACCAAAAAAUAAGUUCUCAGGCUCGCUGGUACCCGCAUAUCGGGGUAGUAAAAAGCCGGAAGAAACUGCUCCUAUUAGUGAUGAAAGUAGUAAACAGACUCGAAGGAAAACAAAAUAAGGGCCUGAUCAGACACAAGAUGCUGAUGUUUCCUUGAUUUUAGUUAGCUAAAUAUGGAUUUGGUAGUUGUUUGGAUUUCAUUGGACUUAUGUAGCUAAUUUGAUGUGUAGCUAUGUGGAAUUGGUUGGAUUUUUUGAGAUGUUUAUAUUUAAACAAUAUAUUAAUUCGUUUUAGUAAAUAACGUUGCCAUUGAUAAAUAAAAU